CAUCAUUAACGGGGUUGCUUAAUCCGGUGCUUAGCUUAAUUUUGAUUUAAAAAAAAAAGAAAAUUAAUGUUAAAGGCAAGCGUUGACGCUUAAUUAAGCGUCACAAGAUCAGGCGCUUGUGGACACGUGUCAUAAGGACAAAGUCUCUAUCUCUCUCAUCUCUUUCUCUCUUUCGUGUUCUUUCUCUCAUCUCUUCCUCUCUCACGAUUUGUGAUCUCUUGCCGCUGGAUUCAAUCGGCUAUUCCGCCUCUCCUUAUUGAUUUCUCUUCGAUGAUGACACAAUCGGCGUCUCUCUCUCGACGAAAUCGUCUUCUCUCGACAUCGAUGCCGCCUCUCUCACGGUGGGUGAAGAAACAGAGCCUCCUUCCUCCAUUCAAGAUGCCUCUGCUCGGGUUUGUCCUCUCUCUCGUUCCUCUCUUCCAAAUCGUUGGUUCCCAUCUCCUCGACGAUGACGAGGCAAAUCAUGGUGGCUCUCCUAUCGUGAGUCGUCGCUUUCGCCAAAAGAAAAACAAAAUAGCUGAGGCAUCACCUGCUUUGAAGCCUGUAUUUACUAAGGUUAGUGAGCUGAGACCACAUGAACCAAUGGUUUCUCACUGAACGUGAAAGUUAUCAGCACAAAAAUGGUGAUGCAAAGAGGAGGAGGAGGUCGUCCCAGUGGUCCCAACACAUAGGAACCUUAAGCUUUCUCUCUCUCUCGCAGUCUCACAGUCCUUGUGGGUGAUGAGCUUCAUCACUCUGGUUGGAACUCUUGCAGCUCUUCCCACGGUGAUGCUUCUGCUGAUCGACGUUUUCUCAUCUUACCAUCCCUUAUUUAAAAUAUUCUUCAGCCUUUAUUAGUUUUAUAACUGAAUGUUGACUUCAUUUAGUGAUCUGUAAGUUCACAAGUCAUCUUGUCUUCUAUCCUUCUCUAUUUAACAUCAUCUUUUCUUCUCUCAUUCUCUAUUUAAAUCAACCAAUUUUUGAUAUU